AUUGAACGCUGGCGGAAUGCUUUACACAUGCAAGUCGAACGGUAGAGGGGGCAACCCCUCGAGAGUGGCGAACGGGUGAGUAAUAUAUCGGAACGUGCCCAGUCGUGGGGGAUAACGUAGCGAAAGUUACGCUAAUACCGCAUACGAUCUAAGGAUGAAAGCGGGGGAUCGCAAGACCUCGCGCGAUUGGCGCGGCGGAUAUCAGAUUAGGUAGUUGGUGGGGUAAAGGCUCACCAAGCCAACGAUCUGUAGCUGGUCUGAGAGGACGACCAGCCACACUGGAACUGAGACACGGUCCAGACUCCUACGGGAGGCAGCAGUGGGGAAUUUUGGACAAUGGACGCAAGUCUGAUCCAGCCAUUCCGCGUGCAGGAUGAAGGCCCUCGGGUUGUAAACUGCCUUUGUACGGAACGAAAAGGUCUCUCUUAAUACGGGGGGCUCAUGACGGUACCGUAAGAAUAAGCACCGGCUAACUACGUGCCAGCAGCCGCCGUAA
rnacentral:rRNA from 1 species